ensembl:lncRNA
CUCCGUACCCCUUUCCCUCUACCUCUCGCGGUUCCCAGAAAGGCAGGACGGGUCCAGUUCGCCUUUCAAAGAAAAAGACCAAGAGCCUUCAUAUAUCCAUCCCCUGAUUAGCCGCUACUCACCAGAAUUUCUUGUCGAGUGGCCGGGCAGAAUGUGCCAGAAAUCAUUCGAAACACAGACAACAACAAGCCCAAAAAUGCAGCCAGAGACCAAUGGCUCCGGAGCUGACGCCAUCUUUGAGUGAAACAGGAGCUUGGCUGGUGGGGGAGGGGGGAAACAGCCAGACCAAGGGACCGUCUGCAUAUUUCAAACUCGAAUCUGGGAGAACGGGAAGAAGGUUGCGACGGAGGGAGACAGGGAACGUCUCUGUUGUAGAUGUGAAGGGUGAAUAUCCGUUGUUCAUGUGAAAUGGAAGAAAGGGACAGAUGGUGAAGAGGAGAAAAGGGUAGGUGCGCUCGUGUGUGAGCUCACAUCACAUUUAAGGGAGCGUCUAUUUUUUUUUUUUCGUUUUCGUUGCUGCUCGAUCAUGGCACAAGACAAAAUCAAAGGAACGGAGUGUGGUUUUAAUGUUAGAGGGUAUUUAACAACUGAGAGGACCCCCCCACCCCCAAACACACACACCCGCACUGCCCGCCUGAUUCUGCGUUGAAAUGUAGUUGUCCUGUUUUACAGUUCCUGCCGCGGAGAAUGAGCCAGUGCCACAUUCCCAUUUUCUAGUCAUGAAAGAAAAACAUGGCACAGUUGCCAGAGGAAGUAUUCAUAGCAAAACAGACAUGUUUAUGUUUGGCACCGAUCGGUUACAACCACAACGAGGUGUUUUCCCUACAGAAACAUAUGGUGACCCAUACAAACGCAGAUUGUAACACGGACAUAUUCAAUAUGAUUAGUUGGAUGGCAGGUGAUCCACACCUUUCCCGCCAGUAUUAUACUUUUCAGAGAUAGAGCUGUUUAGCAGUCUGGCUGGAAAACAGGCUACAGUGGGAAACAUUUAGAAGUGCCAUCCACGAGUUGUCGCUGCAUAGGCAAUACAAAAUCAUGAAGGUUAUUGGCGAAGCAAUUUGUAUAAAGUAGCCCACUUUGUAUCAUGAUAUCGGAAUGAAUGAUGCGUGAAUUGCAACAGUUAGCUUACAAUUUGGAAUUGAUGUUAAUUUUAGACAAGGAGCCUUCAAACACUGUGGAGGUUAUUUGAUUUAAUAGGAUAAAUAUUAUCUAUAAAGUACCCUAUUUAUGAAUAACGAAAAUUGCAUGUGUCUAUCAUUUUGGUUAUAGUCUAUAUCAUGAACGUAAGUAGGCCUCUUGCAGUAUUCGAUUUUCCUAACAAGAAAUUGUUUUACAUUUUCAUAUUGCAAUAUUUAUGUUAGACCUUUUCAGAAAAACUGGUAGGCAUAUACAAAAUGUGCAUGUGCCCAAAACCUGAGAAGGUUCAGCAUCUUUAGUCAGAUACAUUGUUUAGUCAGUUAUUCUGUAUCCAAGGCAGGAAAUUAAUUGUUAAACUACAUUAUAGCCCACGUGUGAAAUUCAUUAUGAUGUGUAAUACAUUCAGUAUAAAUCGAAUUAUAAUUGCAUUCAUUGGUGUGUUUUGUGUGUGACAAGGUCUAUACUCAUGAUCUCCACAAUGUCUGAUCUGAAGUGAGGUGAAUUAUGACAGUAAUACAAAAUCAGUUCAUCAAUACAAAUUACCUUUCUGUUACAACUGCCAACAGUCCUUAGCUGUUACAACUUCAGCAUUGGCUUACCUGAUUAACAGCUUUCAAACAAUUGGUCAGUGCUCAAGGUCUAGCAUAGCUGAUGUGUUUCAAUUACCAUAACAUGCUGCUUAUUUUCAAGUUUGAUAAGGCUGCUAAUGCAAUAUACCAUGUUAUAAAAAACCUGACUUAUGCAAUUACUUAAUCACCACCAAAUCAGAAAUAUGUCUGAAGUUGCCAGCUUCAUUCAGUGGCACAUCUUUCCCACAGGUGUUGUACUGCAAGCAGUCCUUUUUUAACUUCUUUCAACUCUGACUGUGUUAGAUUUUGUACUGUAAAAUGAAUUUAACACCUUUCCUUUUAUUGUUUUUUUGUGAAGACCCUCUUUUAGGAAGAUUUAGGAAGUUGGUAGUUACUAGUACUCAGACAGACACACAUGCUGACUGGAAAAACAACUGUUGUAAAACUCCAUGUCUGAUCUCAUGAUUGUAAAUGUAUGUGGAAAACAACUGCUGAAUAUGACAUGCUUGUGAAGAGCACAUCAUGGGGUUUAUAUAUUUCUGUCAUGCAACUCCACCAUGACAAACAAAAUGUUGUGUGAUGUGAAAUAAAUAAACAAACACAAAAAACAAAAGCAGAGAAAAAAACAAUAAAUGUAAGAAAUGUCUUCACAGCAUCACCAAAAGAGGCCUGUUAGCAUGUUAGCAAGCUUUGAUCAACUGUGCUGUUGGUGGUGCUUGCAAGAUUUUUGCAUGCUUUUUAGGUAGGUAGCUCGCUAGUGUUAAACUCCAUAAUGCUUCUUUAAACAACAUUAGUCUAAAUGAAGGACUCAAGAAAGUCAGAAUAAUACAUAAUGACUCCUACAUUUUUGCUGCAGUCACCCUGUGGAUGUUUCUACUGCACACUUUAGUGACCUGUCAAACUGUGUUCUCAGUUACAGAUGUGAGCAUACUGUGAACAUGUUUUUGUGACAGCUGGCAUAACACGGGAAAUGCUAAUUGACUUAAUGGCUCUCUCUGAUGACCUCAUGAUACCACCCUGAUGGGACUUGGGAGUUAUAUUGGCGUGCUUAUCCUCUGGGUUGUUCAGUGGGGGAGAAUUUACUGAUCCUUGCUCUUUAGAAUGAAAUGUACACAAUGCUGAAAUAAGGGAGGGUAUAGGUCUGCUGGAAUUAUUGUUCAGUUCAAUAACAUGUCACUGUGUAAUGUCUGAACAAUGGCUGUAUGAUAAAAUAAAUAGUAAUAAAACUGUUAUUAUAUCAACUAUAGCCUUUAUUUGUGAUUGGAAGAACUUUGUUUAUGAUUUAUCUGUUUACACACACUAAAAUAUGUUUCUUUUGUGAAUUUGCAAUCAAGACACCUGCAUAGUUUCAGAUAACACUGGCCAGAUGUUUCUUUAGCUCAUCGCUGUGUUGUCAACAUCAAAGAGGCUCUUCUGACUAUUUAUUGUUCACCUCAGGGUGUUAACAAGAGUGUCUGCUGUUAGUCAGGCCACUGACAGGGAUCGUGUUCCAUAGACAAAAGACAGAGGGGACGGUUUGAAGUUGUAAUCCUUUGACCACAACUACCAGGUAUGACAUCUGCUGUAUCCUGGUUGUCACACACCAGCUUUCUCCUCAGCAUCAUACCACGGCUCCUGUGUAUAUUCCUCAUCAGUAGGGAAUAGGUGACACCUCAUUGAUGCCACCUCAUGGGUGUUUCCAUGGAGAACAUGCUAGCUCAUUAGAAUGUUUUUCUUUUGUUUAAACAUUUAUUUUCGUUCACGGAGGCAUGGUUUAUUUCAGUAUAUUCAGGAUCAUAACUACACAUUUCUUUUUUGACCCAGAUGAUUUAAGCGACUAAUACAGAUUUGCAGUAGAAUUAUUUGGAGAUUUUUUUGGUUUUGACAAUUCUGAUGUUUGGAAUGAAUGGGACAGCUGGCUAUGCUUGUGGUGGUGACAGGUUUAAGGUUGUUCAACAGUGUAUGUCCAGGUAGGAUGUGUUGUGUUUACAGGUCACUUUCUCCUUUAAUAGUCAAAGUACUGGUGUGAGCAAAUGAGAAACAAGAUACUGAACCCACUAAAAAGGCUAAUAGGGUCUGAAGAUGGAGACUGAUUAAAAGGAGCAAGCAAUUCAAUAGAAAA